rnacentral:pre_miRNA from 1 species
AGUGGAAUUGUUGGCUCAUAUGGUUAAUCAAAACUUAACUUUUGCUAAGCUAUUUUCCUAAGUGGUUGCACCAUUUUGAAAUCCUAUCAGUAAU